rnacentral:rRNA from 1 species
UACGUAGGGUGCAAGCGUUAAUCGGAAUUACUGGGCGUAAAGCGUGCGCAGGCGGUUUUGUAAGUCUGUCGUGAAAGCCCCGGGCUUAACCUGGGAAUUGCGAUGGAGACUGCAAGGCUUGAAUCUGGCAGAGGGGGGUAGAAUUCCACGUGUAGCAGUGAAAUGCGUAGAGAUGCGGAGGAACACCGAUGGCGAAGGCAGCCCCCUGGGCUAACACUGACGCUCAGGCACGAAAGCGUGGGGAGCAAACAGG